UUCCCAAAACCGUCCAUACCCAGCUCAUGGGCGGGGUGGGAUAACAGCGGCAACGUGGAUCGAGACUUGGGGGGGGGGCACCGCUGUCGAGCCGAAGGAGCUAGACGCCGUACUUCCGCUGCAGGGGCUGCAGGGACAAUUUCUCAACGACGAGAAAAUCCGCGGAGGCUGUCGUGUAAGAAAUUUCCUGUUUGUGAAAGCAACUGUUUGGUUGCAAUAAAAAGUGAAAGCUCUUGGACCCCCACUGCACCGUUGGUGUGAAUCAACCUAAAUAGACCUAAACUCAGCUGACCUCGCUUGCCUGUGAAUCCUGGUGAAACACUACCCCCUGCUGGAUGUCCGCCUUCCCUGCAGUAGUUUGGUCUCUUAUCGCCGUUGUGGGUUCAGAGGUGAAGCCGGCUGAGAGGAGGAGGUCACUUCCGGAUCGUCAUCUCGUCCUCCAGUCUGUGGCCUUCGGCAAACGAGUAAUAUGGACCACAAGAAGAGAGGACAAUGGUGGCUGGUUUCGCAGAAGUGUGCGUUUCUUAUUUCCCCUGCAGACAGUUCGGUCAUUACAAAAUGCAAAGCAAAAUGUCUCAGACUAUUUCUGUGGUCUGCUCAAAAUGGCGUGUUACAGAUCCGUAUAUUCAAGCU